rnacentral:lncRNA from 10 species
UAACAAAUGAAAAAGACAAAAUGGAAAGCAAUAGACCCCUAAGCAAAGUACAGAAGAGGUAACUGAGUCACAGAGCCAUUAACAUCCUUGUCCAAAGUCACACGCUGAUAAUAGUGGAGCCCUGGUCCCCUGGCAUCCCUUUCAGGGCCAUUUUCAGGCCUCCAUCAGGAGCUUCCUGCCAUCAAGUUGUGCUCUUCUGGUGAGAAAGUUUCCAAGACCUCUCUAGGGCAGAAAUUCCCAUAAGAAGGAACUUCUUGAGUAAGGUUGAUAAGUCAGGGAGUUUCACUUGCUUGUUGUUUUUAUUUUCCAUCGUCCCGACAUCCGGAGCCUUCAGUUUUUUUACCUCCUCCAGGUUCUUCUUCAUUCCAAUGUAGUCCCUCAUUCAUGUCAUCUCCUCUAUUUCACCUGUCCUUCUUAGCAGUCGUUUGACAAUCAAGUCAACUAGAACUGGAACUAGAAUGAGAUAACAUGGUAUUGCUUCUUCUCACAGAGUAGAUCCUCAAUGAAUGUUUGAAAGGAGAUGUCAGUCCGAUGUUUACCUUUAAGAAAGAAAGAUUCUUGUUUGGUUUUCUCCACUUUCAUUUUUUGUUUCUAGGUCCAGG